AUCGAGCUGACGAGUCCCAAAUAGGACGAAAUGCGCGUCCUGGAU
rfam:Schistosoma mansoni strain Puerto Rico chromosome 1, complete genome